rnacentral:rRNA from 1 species
UACAGAGGGUGCAAGCGUUAAUCGGAAUUACUGGGCGUAAAGCGUGCGUAGACGGUUAUGUAAGUCGGGUGUGAAAGCCCCGGGCUCAACCUGGGAAUUGCAUUCGAGACUGUGUAGCUAGGGUACGGAAGAGGGAAGCGGAAUUUCAGGUGUAGCGGUGAAAUGCGUAGAUAUCGGGAGGAAUACCAGUGGCGAAGGCGGCUUACUGGCUCAUUCCUGACGCUGAGGAGCGAAAGCGUGGGGAGCGAACAGG